rnacentral:rRNA from 1 species
GACGAACGCUGGCGGCGUGCCUAACACAUGCAAGUCGAGCGGAGCUAGUAGCAAUAUUAGCUUAGCGGCGGACGGGUGAGUAACGCGUGGGCAACCUGCCUUCUACAGGGGGAUAACACAGGGAAACUUGUGCUAAUACCGCAUAACAUACUUAAGGGACAUCCCUCGGGUAUCAAAGGAGCAAUCCGGUAGAAGAUGGGCCCGCGUCCGAUUAGCUAGUUGGAGGUGUAACGGACCACCAAGGCGACGAUCGGUAGUCGAACUGAGAGGUUGAUCGGCCACAUUGGGACUGAGACACGGCCCAGACUCCUACGGGAGGCAGCAGUGGGGAAUAUUGCGCAAUGGGGGAAACCCUGACGCAGCAACGCCGCGUGAAGGAUGAAGGUCUUCGGAUUGUAAACUUCUUUAGUCGGGGACGAAGAAAUGACGGUACCCGAAGAAUAAGCCACGGCUAACUACGUGCCAGCCGCCGCAGUAA